rnacentral:lncRNA from 1 species
CAUGCGUAGAUAAAAGUAAAUAAACGCCCUCAAGUUAGGAAUGAACGGAGGAAAUGGGUUAAACGAGAAUAAAUAAUUGAAGGCAGAGAGGUAAAGAACUUCCUCUUUCAACGCAUCUCAAAAUUUGGCGUGGAUGCAGAUCACCUACAGAGUAUGAUUAUUCAUCUUUACAUUGCCUUGUUUUGAGAUGAUGAAACUGAGGUUCAAGCCAAUGACAAGCCUGAAGCCACAUGGCUAGUGAGUGGCAGAGUCAGAACUCAAACCCAAAUCCACCUGACCCCAAACUUCAUGUAUCUUGAACUACAGGCUCCAUCUCACUGUUCACACUCUCACCCACCUCCACCCAUCAAAGGUGCCUCUAGACCUUUGCUUGUGUUGUUUGUUCUCUGCCUGACAUGCCUCCCCCUCAGUCGCUCUCAGUUGAAACCUGGCUUAGUCAUCAAGUGCCUGCUCAGCAGCAAGACCUCUUCUCUUCACAGAGCCUUUGUUGAGCCCCACCACUGGAAUUAACCUCUUCCUUCCAGACCAGUUUGGUGGUGCCCCUAAUCCACAGUUUCCCAACCUCAGCCCUACUGACACUGGGGCUGGAUAAUCUUUGUCGUGGGGGCUGUCGUGUGCACUGCAGGAUAUGGAGCAGUACCCCUGCUUUCCACCCACGAGAUGCCAUGGCACCCUCCUCAAGUUGCAACAACCAAAAUAUGUCUUCAGACAUUGCCACUGUCCCCUAGGGUACUAAAUCACCUCUAUGGAGAACCACUGUCCUAAGCUACAAUACUCACUGCCCUCUGUUUUGAGCCAUAAA